GAAAAAGAAGUCUUCUCAGGCUUCAGAACAGAAACCUUCAGAAUCUAGUUGCGUUGAGUCGUGUUCGACUGUAGAACAUGAAGCUUUAACUGUGUAUCAUGUUUCAGAUAACUGUUUAGCUAUUGAUUCCAAGCGUCUUCAUCAGGAAUGGUUGUUUGAUAGCGGUUGCAGCUCGCACAUGUGUAACAACGCAAGCAGGUUUGAUAAAAUAUUGCCAAGUAACCAACAAUUGAAAUUAGCCACUGAUUCUUUGACAACCGUGCAAGGUAAGGGUACUGUCAAGAUAUUAGCAUGUAACGAUGAUAUUACGCGAAAAAUCCAAUUUGAAGAUACGUUGUUAGUUCCUGAUCUACGUAGUAACUUAAUUUCGAUUUCUAAACUUACUGAUCGAGGUUGUAUAGUCACUUUUAAACGUGAUGUAGCAUAUGCAACUAAGGAUGGUGAAGUUAAGUUGACUGCUGAUCGUAGAGGUAAUUUGUAUUACCUGAGAGAGCAGGAUGCUUCGGCAUCUGUAGUAUCAGAUAAGGAUGUGGAUUUGUGUAGAUGGCAUGAGCGUAUGGGACAUUUGAAUGCUAGGGAUCUUAUGAAAGUACUGAAGAAAUCGGGUAUAGACGCCACCAAGUCUGAUACUGAAUUGCGCGAUUGUGAUGUGUGUGCUAAGGGAAAGAUGGUUGCGUUGCCUUUUGUGAAGUCCAGUCAGCCAUGUGACGAAAAGUUAAAAAUAAUUUAUUCUGAUGUGGUAGGCCCAAUGAGAGUUCAAUCAAAUGCGGGAAACAAAUAUUUUGUUACAUUUAUUGAUGAUUGUACUCGUUGGUGUGAAGUUUUUAUGUUGAAAAAUAAAAGUGACGUCUUGUCAAAGUUUAAAAUAUUUAAAUGUCAGAUCGAAAAUUUGACAGGUAAACAAAUAAAAUAUUUCCAUUCCGAUAAUGGCAAGGAAUUUGUGAAUAGUGAUUUUUCGAAAUUUUUACAAGAAAAUGGAAUAAAAAAGAGGUUGACUACGCCGUAUUCACCGCAGAGUAAUGGAAUUGCAGAACGGAUGAAUCGCACCUUACUGGAGAAGGCAAGAUAACAUUCGGUGCGAAAGUUCAUGUUUUGGAAAAGGAGCCAGGAAAGGAUAAGUUCGCAGCACGAAGUUCUCCCGGCAUUUUUGUGGGCUACCCGGCUGAAUCUGGUGGCUAUAGGGUGUGGAUAUCCGAGAAAAGAAAAA